rnacentral:lncRNA from 1 species
UUUGUUUGAUUUUCAUUUACUAGAGAAAAAAAUUGCUUUGGGAAGAAGGUCGUUUGGUUUGACGUUGUUAUUCUCAUUUUCUCGUUUUAUUUUUAUGAGCUGGGAUUACUUAAUGACGGGUAUUAUGGGCUUGUUUCUAAAGCCAAAAUCCAGUGGACCAUAUUUUCCUUUUAUUGUUUUUUUUUCGGUUAGUUGGUUUCCACCCUUAUUUUGUUAUUUGUUGGUCCUAAGUUUAGCAACAGGAAACUUG